rnacentral:tRNA from 1 species
GGCAUGGUGGUGGAGUGGGUAGCACUGUUGCCUCAGAGCAAGAAGGCCCUGGGUUCAAAUCUUGGCUUUGGCC